rnacentral:rRNA from 1 species
UACGGAGGGUGCAAGCGUUAUCCGGAUUCACUGGGUUUAAAGGGUGCGUAGGCGGGCAUUUAAGUCAGUGGUGAAAUACCUGAGCUUAACUCGGAAACUGCCUUUGAUACUAUCAGUCUUGAAUUCAGUUGAGGUGGGCGGAAUGUGUCGUGUAGCGGUGAAAUGCUUAGAUAUGACACAGAACACCAAUUGCGAAGGCAGCUCGCUAAACUGACAUUGACGCUGAGGCACGAAAGCGUGGGGAGCAAACAGG